rnacentral:rRNA from 1 species
CAAAACUUUCAACAACGGAUCUCUUGGUUCUCGCAUCGAUGAAGACCGCAGCU